rnacentral:rRNA from 1 species
CGGAGGAAAAGAAACCAACAGGGAUUGCCCUAGUAACGGCGAGUGAAGCGGCAACAGCUCAAAUUUGAAAUCUGGCGCAAGCCCGAGUUGUAAUUUGUAGAGGAUGCUUCUAGGUAGCGACCGGUCUAAGUUCCUUGGAACAGGACGUCAUAGAGGGUGAGAAUCCCGUAUGUGACCGGCCCGCGCCUUCCACGUAGCUCCUUCGACGAGUCGAGUUGUUUGGGAAUGCAGCUCUAAAUGGGAGGUAAAUUUCUUCUAAAGCUAAAUACCGGCCAGAGACCGAUAGCGCACAAGUAGAGUGAUCGAAAGAUGAAAAGCACUUUGGAAAGAGAGUUAAAAAGCACGUGAAAUUGUUGAAAGGGAAGCGCUCACAACCAGACUUCUGGGCGGUGUUCCGCCGGUCUUCUGACCGGUCUACUCGCCGUCCCGAGGCCAACAUCAUCUGGGACCGCCGGAUAAGACCUCAGGAAUGUGGCUCCCCUCGGGGAGUGUUAUAGCCUGUGGUGAUGCGGCGCGUCUCGGGUGAGGUCCGCGCUUCGGCAAGGAUGUUGGCGUAAUGGUUGUCAGCGGCCCGUCUUGAAACACGGACCAAGGAGUCUAACAUCUAUGCGAGUGUUCGGGUGUCAAACCCCUACGCGUAAUGAAAGUGAACGGAGGUGGGAAGGGUAACCUGCACCAUCGACCGAUCCUGAUGUCCUCGGAUGGAUUUGAGUAAGAGCAUAGCUGUUGGGACCCGAAAGAUGGUGAACUAUGCCUGAAUAGGGUGAAGCCAGAGGAAACUCUGGUGGAGGCUCGCAGCGGUUCUGACGUGCAAAUCGAUCGUCAAAUUUGGGUAUAGGGGCGAAAGACUAAUCGAACCAU